AUGAAGAGAGAUGACGGUGCAUGUGUAAAGCGUGCUUACAAAAUUUUUUGAAAAUUUUCUUUCGGCACUGGCAACUAGGCCUAGGUGGCAGAUAUUUCGACAUUUGUCUAGCUACCUAUACCGGAUAUCUACACAAAGGAUUCAUACUUUUAUUGGAUUAUACAGACGCUGAUUUCAGUUUUUUACUGUCUUCAGACUUCAGCCUCAGGAAUUGUUGCCGUAGAACUAAGGCUAAGUUAGCUGUGCCGAUUUGUGGACCUAAAAGAUUCAGUUUGCAACUUCAGGAUUGAAUUUUUUCUUGGCGGUUCGCUUGAUUGAACUUUGGAGGUGAUUGCAUCCAGGAUUCAUUGGACUUGGGCUGAGUGACGGAGCUUCGAGUCUAACUCUAGUUUCGCGAGUUGAUCAUGCCAAAGGUUAAGGCCAAGAAAAUAACGACCGCAGGUGCGAGGAAGGGAGAUGACACACCGAAGAGGAGGCGGGUCGGCCGAGAGGUCCACGGGCGACGUCAACCCCCGCAAGUGUGGAUCUGGGGCUGGGAGGCGGCAACAACGGGCCAGGAAGGAGCGGACCUGUGGUGUGGAUCAUAGGGGACUCGAUAGUGUUUUGGGCACAUCGCAGGGCGAAGAACACCGGCGAGGCUGACCUUGGACUUGGAACGUCGGUCCGCUGGUUGGG
rnacentral:lncRNA from 1 species